AUUUUAGAGAAAAUUAAAGUGUUAUUUUUAAAUUGCCUCUUUUAUUUGUCUCCCAGAGAUUGAAAAGGAUAGAAGUUAUUUUAAUGACAAAAAUUACAUUCUAAAGACUUUGGGAAAAGAAUGCUAUUUCUUUUUUGGCAAAUUAUCCCUAAUCUGGUGUACUUUUCUGUAGGUAAAGCCUUUUUCAGUCAUCAGUAGAAAAGUGGACAGAAAAAAAUGUUGCAAGAAAACCUCUUCACUGUUUUUCCAGUGAAGCGGCAAUGAGGUCUGGUAGAGGAUUUCUCAUUCCCCUCACCUGGCACUUCAUCACUCCGUGGGAGUGGGGCAUGGGCUGUUAGGAGCAUGUUCAGGAUCGUCUGUCAAGACUGGAGCUGGAAACUACCACCCGCCUCGCAGAGCUUCAGCCUGGUGCUGGUUCCUGACCCGCAGACCCAGGUCUGCGUACCUCUGAGAGAGCCCAAACUCCCUGGGAAGGAUGGCGAAGCCUUCCGACAAGAUGUUCAGCGAGCCUGAGGCAGAGCUGGAGACCCAGAGCACCACACUGUUGCUGCUGCUGCGUACUGCACUAGCAAAUGUAUUCAUU